rnacentral:misc_RNA from 1 species
AGAAGAAGAAGAAGAAAAGAGAAAAUAAGACCUGGAGAUUUCUAGAAACAGGGGAACUUGGUUUCUUUCUUUAGAAUAGACAAAGAGUGUGGGAGAGGGGAGGCGCUCCUCUUUCACAAUACAGACUUUUCUCUUCUAUCACCUUAUUCCUCGAGUCCUAUCUUUCUUUCCUCAUUGAUUUGUGCAAUAAAAAAAAUGGAGAGUUUAAAAGGAAAUUUGUUAUGGUUCUCAGGGGGA